GAUGAACGCUGGCGGCGUGCCUAAUACAUGCAAGUCGAGCGAACAGAUGAGGAGCUUGCUCCUCUGACGUUAGCGGCGGACGGGUGGGUAACACGUGGAUAACCUACCUAUAAGACUGGGAUAACUUCGGGAAACCGGAGCUAAUACCGGAUAAUAUAUUGAACCGCAUGGUUCAAUAGUGAAAGACGGUUUUGCUGUCACUUAUAGAUGGAUCCGCGCCGCAUUAGCUAGUUGGUAAGGUAACGGCUUACCAAGGCAACGAUGCGUAGCCGACCUGAGAGGGUGAUCGGCCACACUGGAACUGAGACACGGUCCAGACUCCUACGGGAGGCAGCAGUAGGGAAUCUUCCGCAAUGGGCGAAAGCCUGACGGAGCAACGCCGCGUGAGUGAUGAAGGUCUUCGGAUCGUAAAACCCUGUUAUUAGGGAAGAACAAAUGUGUAAGUAACUAUGCACGUCUUGACGGUACCUAAUCAGAAAGCCACGGCUAACUACGUG
rnacentral:rRNA from 1 species